rnacentral:rRNA from 1 species
AGAGUUUGAUCCUGGCUCAGAAUCAACGCUGGCGGCGUGCCUAACACAUGCAAGUCGAACGAGAAAGUGGAGCAAUCCAUGAGUACAGUGGCGUACGGGUGAGUAACACGUGACUAACCUACCCUCGAGUGGGGAAUAACUUCGGGAAACCGGAGCUAAUACCGGAUGCUACUUUGGAACUCCUGUUCCUUAGUUAAAAG